UGGCGAUCGGAUUGUGCUGAAGAGAAAGAAGGAGAGCAGAGGACAUUAUUACCUAACAGGAAGCCCAGUACGAGGUGGAGCUUCGGGAGCCAGGUGGAGCUCAGAUCGAGGUGGAGCUCCAAGAGGUGGAUCGGGCACAAGACAGGAAACUCGGGAGGAUGAGAGGCGACGUCGCAAGAUGAGAUUCCUAUUGCCGCAGAACGAUGCCCCG
rnacentral:lncRNA from 1 species